AUUGAACGCUGGCGGCAUGCUUUACACAUGCAAGUCGAACGGCAGCGCGGGCUUCGGCCUGGCGGCGAGUGGCGAACGGGUGAGUAAUGCAUCGGAACGUGCCCAGUAGUGGGGGAUAGCCCGGCGAAAGCCGGAUUAAUACCGCAUACGACCUGAGGGUGAAAGCGGGGGACCGAAAGGCCUCGCGCUAUUGGAGCGGCCGAUGUCGGAUUAGCUAGUUGGUGGGGUAAAGGCUUACCAAGGCGGCGAUCCGUAGCUGGUCUGAGAGGACGACCAGCCACAGUGGGACUGAGACACGGCCCAGACUCCUACGGGAGGCAGCAGUGGGGAAUUUUGGACAAUGGGGGCAACCCUGAUCCAGCCAUGCCGCGUGCGGGAAGAAGGCCUUCGGGUUGUAAACCGCUUUUGUUCGGGAAGAAAUCCUCUGGGCUAAUACCCCGGGGGGAUGACGGUACCGGAAGAAUAAGCACCGGCUAACUACGUG
rnacentral:rRNA from 1 species